UACGCGAAGAACUUACCUGGCCUUGACAUGUCCGGAACCUUGUAGAGAUAUGAGGGUGCCCGAAAGGGAACCGGAACACAGGUGCUGCAUGGCUGUCGUCAGCUCGUGUCGUGAGAUGUUGGGUUAAGUCCCGCAACGAGCGCAACCCUUGUCCUUAGUUGCCAGCACUUCGGGUGGGCACUCUAAGGAGACCGCCGGUGACAAACCGGAGGAAGGUGGGGAUGACGUCAAGUCAUCAUGGCCUUUAUGGCCAGGGCUACACACGUGCUACAAUGGCCGGUACAAAGGGUUGCCAACCCGCAAGGGGGAGCUAAUCCCGGAAAGCCGGUCGUAGUCCGGAUCGGAGUCUGCAACUCGACUCCGUGAAGUUGGAAUCGCUAGUAAUCGCAAAUCAGCAUUGUUGCGGUGAAUACGUUCCCGGGUCUUGUACACACCG
rnacentral:rRNA from 1 species